rnacentral:rRNA from 1 species
CCUACGGGAGGCAGCAGUGAGGAAUAUUGGUCAAUGGCCGGAAGGCUGAACCAGCCAUGCCGCGUGAAGGUUAGUGCCCUAUUGGCGUGAAACUUCUUUUUUGCGGGAGCAAUAAUGGUCACGGGUGGCCAGACGAGAGUACCGUACGAAUAAGCAUCGGCUAACUCCGGGCCAGCAGCCGCGGUAAUACGGGGGAUGCAAGCGUUAUCCGGAUUUAUUGGGUUUAAAGGGGGCGUAGGCUGUGAGGUAAGUCAGCUGUGAAAGUUUGUGGGUCAACCAUAGAAUUGCCGUUGAAACUGGGAGGCUUGAGUAUGUUUGAAGCAGGCGGAAUGCGUGGUGUAGCGGUGAAAUGCUUAGAUAUCACGCAGAACCCCGAUUGCGAAGGCAGCCUGCCAAGCCAUGACUGACGCUGAUGCACGAAAGCGUGGGGAUCAAACAGGAUUAGAUACCCGGGUAGUC